rnacentral:rRNA from 1 species
CUACGGGGUGCUGCAGUGGGGAAUAUUGGGCAAUGGGCGCAAGCCUGACCCAGCAACGCCGCGUGAGGGAAGAAGGUUUUCGGAUUGUAAACCUCUGUCCUUGGGGACGAAGAAGUGACGGUACCCAAGGAGGAAGCUCCGACUAACUACGGUGCCAGCAGCCGCGGUAAUACGUAGGGAGCAAGCGUUGUCCGGAAUUACUGGGCGUAAAGGGUGCGUAGGCGGCAUAUUAAGUCAGGUGUGAAAUACUCGGGCUCAACCCGGGGGCUGCAUUUGAAACUGAUAUGCUUGAGUGUGAGAGAGGAAAGUGGAAUUCCUAGUGUAGCGGUGGAAUGCGUAGAUAUUAGGAGGAACACCAGUGGCGAAGGCGACUUUCUGGCUCAUAACUGACGCUGAGGCACGAAAGCGUGGGGAGCAAACAGGAUUAGAUACCCUCGUAGUC